rnacentral:rRNA from 1 species
GAUGAACGCUGGCGGCGUGCCUAAUACAUGCAAGUCGAGCGAACGGACGAGAAGCUUGCUUCUCUGAUGUUAGCGGCGGACGGGUGAGUAACACGUGGAUAACCUACCUAUAAGACUGGGAUAACUUCGGGAAACCGGAGCUAAUACCGGAUAAUAUUUUGAACCGCAUGGUUCAAAAGUGAAAGACGGUCUUGCUGUCACUUAUAGAUGGAUCCGCGCUGCAUUAGCUAGUUGGUAAGGUAACGGCUUACCAAGGCAACGAUGCAUAGCCGACCUGAGAGGGUGGUCGGCCACACUGGAACUGAGACACGGUCCAGACUCCUACGGGAGGUAGCAGUAGGGAAUCUUCCGCAAUGGGCGAAAGCCUGACGGAGCAACGCCGCGUGAGUGGUGAAGGUCUUCGGAUCGUAAAACUCUGUUAUUAGGGAAGAACAUAUGUGUAAGUAACUGUGCACAUCUUGACGGUACCUAAUCAGAAAGCCACGGCUAACUACGUG